UUCUUAUCAAGAGAGGCGGAGGGACUGGCCCUAUGAUGCCCGGCAACCUGAAUAUAGAAUAUUCAUUGGUGCUAAUUCCAGCAGGGGAAACCUGAUAGAUGAGAU
rfam:Clostridium tyrobutyricum DIVETGP, WGS project CBXI01000000 data, contig: NODE_5